rnacentral:rRNA from 1 species
AGACACUGGGAUUGCCCUAGUAACGGCGAGUGAAGCGGCAACAGCUCAAAUUUGAAAUCUGGCGUCUUCGGCGUCCGAGUUGUAAUUUGUAGAGGAUGCUUUUGGGCAGCCACCGGUCUAAGUUCCUUGGAACAGGACGUCAUAGAGGGUGAGAAUCCCGUAUGCGACCGGAAGGGCACCCUCCACAUAGCUCCUUCGACGAGUCGAGUUGUUUGGGAAUGCAGCUCUAAAUGGGAGGUAAAUUUCUUCUAAAGCUAAAUACCGGCCAGAGACCGAUAGCGCACAAGUAGAGUGAUCGAAAGAUGAAAAGCACUUUGGAAAGAGAGUUAAAAAGCACGUGAAAUUGUUGAAAGGGAAGCGCUUGCAACCAGACUUGUCUGCGGUGUUCCGCCGGUCUUCUGACCGGUCUACUCACCGCUCGCAGGCCAGCAUCGUUUGGGGCCGCCGGAUAAAAGCCUAGGGAAUGUAGCUCCCCUCGGGGAGUGUUAUAGCCCUUGGUGCAAUACGGCGAGCCUCGAGCGAGGUCCGCGCUUCGGCUAGGAUGCUGGCGUAAUGGUUAUAAGCGGCCCGUCUG